UGCCAGACUCCUACGGGAGGCAGCAGUGGGGAAUAUUGCACAAUGGGGGAAACCCUGAUGCAGCGACGCCGCGUGAGUGAGGAAGUAUUUCGGUAUGUAAAGCUCUAUCAGCAGGGAAGAAAAUGACGGUACCUGACUAAGAAGCCCCGGCUAACUACGUGCCAGCAGCCGCGGUAAUACGUAGGGGGCAAGCGUUAUCCGGAUUUACUGGGUGUAAAGGGAGCGUAGACGGCAGUGCAAGUCCGGAGUGGAAGCCCGGGGCUCAACCCUGGGACUGCUCUGGAAACUGUAAAGCUGGAGUGCGGGAGGGGCAGGCGGAAUUCCUGGUGUAGCGGUGAAAUGCGUAGAUAUCAGGAGGAACACCGGCGGCGAAGGCGGCCUGCUGGACCGUAACUGACGUUGAGGCUCGAAAGCGUGGGGAGCAAACAGGAUUAGAUACCCCGGUA
rnacentral:rRNA from 1 species